rnacentral:rRNA from 1 species
UACGUAGGCAGCAAGCGUUGUUCGGAAUUACUGGGCGUAAAGGGCGCGUAGGCGGCCCUCUAAGUCGAACGUGAAAAUCCCUGGGCUCAACCCAGGAACUGCGUCCGAGACUGGGGGGCUAGAAUCCGGGAGAGGGAUGUGGAAUUCCAGGUGUAGCGGUGAAAUGCGUAGAUAUCUGGAGGAACAUCGGUGGCGAAGGCGGCAUCCUGGACCGGUAUUGACGCGUGAGGCGCGAAAGCCAGGGGAGCAAACGGGG